rnacentral:misc_RNA from 1 species
UACAAGGGCGCAGCAGUGGGAAUUUUGGACAAUGGAAACCCUGAUCCAGCCAUCCGUGCACGAUGAAGGCCUUCGGGUUGUAAAACACGGCAGGAAAGAAACGGCACAGGAUAAUACGUGCAAUGACAACACCUGCAGAAUAGCACCGGCUAACUGCGUGCCAGCAGCCGCGGUAAUACGUAAGUUACCGAAGCGUUAAUCGGAAUUACUGGGCGUAAAAGCGUGCCAGGCAGUUCGGAAAGAAAGAUGUGAAAUCAGGCUUAACUGGAACAUGACCCCAACUACCGAGCUAAGUGUCCAGAGGAGGUGGAAUUCCGCGAUGGCAGCAGUGAAAUGCAUGUGAUAUGCGGAGGAACGCGAUGGCGAAAGGCAGCCUCCUGGGAUAACACUGACGCUCAUGCACAAAGCGUGAGGCAAACCGGAUUAGAUACCCCGGUAGUCACA